GACGAACGCUGGCGGCGUGCUUAACACAUGCAAGUCGAACGGAAAGGCCCUGCUUUUGUGGGGUGCUCGAGUGGCGAACGGGUGAGUAACACGUGAGUAACCUGCCCUUGACUUUGGGAUAACUUCAGGAAACUGGGGCUAAUACCGGAUAGGAGCUCCUGCUGCAUGGUGGGGGUUGGAAAGUUUCGGCGGUUGGGGAUGGACUCGCGGCUUAUCAGCUUGUUGGUGGGGUAGUGGCUUACCAAGGCUUUGACGGGUAGCCGGCCUGAGAGGGUGACCGGCCACAUUGGAACUGAGAUACGGCCCAGACUCCUACGGGAGGCAGCAGUGGGGAAUAUUGCACAAUGGGCGGAAGCCUGAUGCAGCAACGCCGCGUGCGGGAUGACGGCCUUCGGGUGGGAAACCGCUUUCGCCUGUGACGAAGCGUGAGUGACGGGAAUGGGUAAAGAAGCACCGGCGAACUACGU
rnacentral:rRNA from 1 species